rnacentral:rRNA from 1 species
AUUGAACGCUGGCGGCAUGCCUUACACAUGCAAGUCGAACGGCAGCACGGGAGCAAUCCUGGUGGCGAGUGGCGAACGGGUGAGUAAAGUAUCGGAACGUGCCCGGUCGUGGGGGAUAACGUAGCGAAAGUUACGCUAAUACCGCAUACGAUCUAUGGAUGAAAGCGGGGGAUCGCAAGACCUCGCUCGAUUGGAGCGGCCGAUAUAAGAUUAGGUAGUUGGUGGGGUAAAGGCUCACCAAGCCGACGAUCUGUAGCUGGUCUGAGAGGACGACCAGCCACACUGGGACUGAGACACGGCCCAGACUCCUACGGGAGGCAGCAGUGGGGAAUUUUGGACAAUGGGCGAAAGCCUGAUCCAGCCAUGCCGCGUGCAGGAUGAAGGCCUUCGGGUUGUAAACUGCUUUUGUACGGAACGAAAAGGUUUGGCCUAAUAAGCUGAGCUCAUGACGGUACCGUAAGAAUAAGCACCGGCUAACUACGUGCCAGCCGCCGCAGUAA